CUCCCAUGGCUGUACUGAAGGUUACCUGUUGAAUGUGAUUUUGAUGGUAAAUGUAAUGAAGCUCAUAAUGCUUCUGCACCAUGGCAACGGUACCAAAACAUCACUGCUCUUCCUGUAUUCAUUUUCCUUUACUAGCCAGAAGACUGGACUGUAACUGGGGACUCUGGGAGAUGUAUAGAAGUGAAGAACUGUUUUUUGUUGCCUUUUUCCCCUCCAGGCCAGUGUAGGUCACAAGUCCCAAGACAGAAAGCAUGGGUAUAUUCAAAGUAACUAGAACUCCUCUGGGGCAAAUAAGCACAACCCCCAAAUAGCCCAGAUGGGACAGAAAGGAGAGGUACUCAGAUGAUCGCGGUAUCAGCCCGCUAAGAUUACCCGUGAUGAACACACACAGCUGAUUUUCCUGUUUCUUGUGGGACCUGCUGCAGCUUUUAUGGCCGUAGUUCUUUCUAACAGCGUCUCCUGGAAUCCAAGAGAUGUGCCCCAAAAUUGCAGUGUGAAUUAAAAGUAAUGAUAGAG